rnacentral:ncRNA from 1 species
CAGCGAACAAGCCACACUCGUCGAGAGGCGGGGUCGGAAAGCUACAGACCCUGUGGGAGAAGCGAGUAGGGGCGUCCGGUUCAGAGGCAGCUUCCCGGCUGGUGCGAACCGAAGAGAAGAGAGACGCUAUACCCAUCUUCAACAGGGUGGCUGAGUUGCCGCA